rnacentral:rRNA from 1 species
UACGAAGGGGGCUAGCGUUGCUCGGAAUCACUGGGCGUAAAGCGCACGUAGGCGGAUCGUUAAGUCAGGGGUGAAAUCCUGGAGCUCAACUCCAGAACUGCCUUUGAUACUGGCGACCUUGAGUUCGGGAGAGGUGAGUGGAACUGCGAGUGUAGAGGUGAAAUUCGUAGAUAUUCGGAAGAACACCAGUGGCGAAGGCGACUUACUGGACACAUAUUGACGCUGAGGUGCGAAAGCGUGGGGAGCAAACAGG